rnacentral:ribozyme from 1 species
AAAAAAGGUAUAGAAUAUCAUGAGAGUUCUGUCCUCAGAAAUACUCCUUGCUCUUUGCCAUUGUGGUCUAAAGUGCAACCGAAAACAAGCAAAAGGAGUCAA